rnacentral:lncRNA from 1 species
UGGGGAUCCUGUAGCUGCAAUGUUCUUCAACUGCCAGAGGGAGAAUGGAUGUGGUGGAAGAAGGUAUAUCAGAUAAACAAAUAUAUAUAUAUAUAUAUAUAUAUAACACCUGCCUAAACUUCCAAGGAAUCAUCAUUUGGAACUGCACAUUGUUUUUGGGGAUCUGAAAGGAUCUUGAUGAUACCAAAUACCAAUUGACAUAUCCCAGAUCGCUUGAUGGUAAUUCAGUUAUUAGCACCUCUUUACUGGCCUGAACAAUUUCUAGGUCACUUCAGCCCUUCCUGUCAUGAAGUCAUGUAGAGAGACCAGCACAGUAGUUAGAAAAUUGAAUAAAGCCUAGUUCUGUUAGGAUCGUUAAUGGCACCGAUUUAUUGGUCAGUUCAACCCUUC